rnacentral:rRNA from 1 species
UACGGAGGGGGCUAGCGUUGUUCGGAAUUACUGGGCGUAAAGCGCACGUAGGCGGCUUUGUAAGUUAGAGGUGAAAGCCCGGGGCUCAACUCCGGAAUUGCCUUUAAGACUGCAUCGCUAGAAUUGUGGAGAGGUAAGUGGAAUUCCGAGUGUAGAGGUAGAAAUUCGUAGAUAUUCGGAAGAACACCGGUGGCGAAGGCGGGUCUCUGGGCCGA